CUACAAUUUCUCCUCGACCGCAUCCGCGCCCGGCUCGCUGGGUGGAAGGGGCGGAUGCUCUCCAUUGCGGGUAGGCGUGUUCUUGUCCGCUGCGUCCUCACCGCCCUGCCCACAUUCGCACUCACUGCGCUUCGGGUCCCCAAGAAGCUUCUGAAGGAGAUUGACAAGUGCAGACAUCGCUUCCUGUGGGGGAAGGACCAAGAGCUCUCUGGCGGCAGCUGCAAGGUCAACUGGGAACGUGUCUGCUCCCCGAUCGAGCAUGGUGGGCUCGUGAAGGAGAUAUGCCCUAGAGGCAAUAAUAAAGUUGUUAUUUAUAUUUCUUUAUAUCAUGACAAAUGUUUAUUAUUCAUGCUAGAAUUGUAUUAA
rnacentral:rRNA from 1 species